rnacentral:rRNA from 1 species
GCGUUGUCCGGAAUCAUUGGGCGUAAAGAGCGUGUAGGCGGCCCGAUAAGUCCGCUGUGAAAGUCCAGGGCUCAACCCUGGAAUGCCGGUGGAUACUGUCGGGCUCGAAUCCGGAAGAGGUGAGUGGAAUUCCUGGUGUAGCGGUGAAAUGCGCAGAUAUCAGGAGGAACACCAAUGGCGAAGGCAGCUCACUGGGACGGUAUUGACGCUGAGACGCGAAAGCGUG